rnacentral:misc_RNA from 1 species
GAUGAAGAACGUAGCGAAAUGCGAUAAGUAGUGUGAAUUGCAGAAUUCAGUGAAUCAUCGAAUCUUUGAACGCACAUUGCGCCCCUCGGUAUUCCGUGGGGCAUGCCUGUUCGAGCGUCAUUUAACCCCUCAAGCCUAGCUUGGUAUUGGGUGCUUGUCCCGCCUCUCGCGCGGCGACUCACCUCAAAGUCAUUGGCAGCCCGCAUCUCGCCGGCCGUGAGCGCAGCACAGACGCGCUCUUGGCAACGACGGAUCGGCUCUCCAAAAGCUUAUUUCAACCACUGAACUCGGAUCAGGUAGGGAUACCCGCUGAACUUAAGCAUAUCAAUAAGCGGAGGA